rnacentral:sRNA from 1 species
GAGUGACCCCAACAGAGUGUCCAGGGACUCAGGCCUCUGAUCAAGUUACCCCCAGAGGAUCAGAGAGGGGUUGACGAAGGAGAAGCAUUCAGAGGGCACUGGCUUCUGGACAGCAAUGAGUGCCCGGGCCACACGGCCCCGAAGCCGGCGAGGGAGGCAUGCUCCACCCGGUGAACUGGAUCCCGUGGCUGAGAGUUCAGAGGAGGUCGAGGCAGCCAGUGGGAGCUCCAAGCCCAGCUUUGCCCCACCUCCGGUGAGCUCCGGGCUGGAGCAGCUGGGCCCCAUGGAGGAGGUCAGUGGCCAAGGCCUAGGAAGCAGGUAAGACCCACUUGGUCUGUGCCCUUCACUCCAGUCCAGACGCGUCUUUGCCAUCCACAGAUCUGCUGAUGUGCCCGCUCUGCUCACACACCUACCAUAGCUCCCUAUUGCCUUCUGCCUGACUUUCUUUUUUUUUUUUUUGAGUCUUGCUGUGUCACCCAGGCUGCAGUGCA